rnacentral:misc_RNA from 1 species
AAGUCGUAACAAGGUUUCCGUAGGUGAACCUGCGGAAGGAUCAUUAAAAGAGAUCGUUUCUGAUGCCUAAAAUGCUGAAGAAAUCCUCCAACCCUUGUCUAUUAAAAGCAAAAAUUUGUUGCUUCGGCGAAAUUUUUCCAAGAAAGUCGAGAUUAAACUAGAAAUUCAUUUCUUAUUUAUUCUUUUCUUGCUUGUCGCCAGAAGAUCAUAACUUUAAACUCUGUUUAUAAUAAAUAAAUGUCUGAAAAUUGAAUAAAUCAUUUUAAUGAUUUAUCAAAUUAAAAUCACAA